AGAGAGAAAAGCCUGCCAAAGUCUGUGAUGCCUAGUACGGCAUCCAGUCGUCUGGGCCCCAUCAAGGUCAACAAUCCACAACUGGACCCUACCUCAGUAAGUAGGGUUGAGAUCAGAGAGAAGGCCUAAAGCUGUACAAUAUGAGCAGAGGAAGUCCCAUCCCCUUCCAAAUGAUAAUCCCAGUCGGCUCUGCAACUCGAUGCACACUAUCACCAACUCUUAUGCCUUUUGAGGAGUUUGCGAGUGACGAAAGUUAGAGGACACAAAGAAGGAGCCAUAAAUGGGACUGCCCUGCCCUGAACUUUAAUGGCAAACUGCUUCCACAAAGCUUCAGUGCUCCCUGAGCAGACGUCAUCAGCUGGGGGCUGUUUAAAUGGAGGAAACUGCAGGACAUACUCACCACCUGUGGGAAAGGUCCUCCUUUCUCAGCCGGUAAUAAAAUGCUAAUAUGCUUUUGUCAGACCCGGAUAUCAAGCUUUUUUGAUUUUAGAUUUACCUUUAAGUACAAGCUUAUAAAUUAACAGUUGCCAUUGUUUCUCAGACUCUAGUAGUUCUUAAACACCGAAUGAUUGAAUUAAACCCUGACCUACUGGAAAAACAAGUGAUUAAAGAAUACUUUCUAGGUAAAGAUAAGUACAAAACCAUGGGUCUCUCCAGUGUUGAAGUUGAAAGUGCAAAAUAGGCUUACAUACGCUUUUCUUUCUGGGAUAAUAGCACUCUUAGAAAUUAAUGGAAUAGUUACCAGGUAUGGCUCAUGGUAUUUCAGUGUUUGAAGUUCAAAAUGACUGUAAAAGUGGAGUUGCUCUAAUGAGAACAGAAACUCUUGACUGUGAAGGGCAG